rnacentral:rRNA from 1 species
AGGACGAACGCUGGCGGCGUGCUUAACACAUGCAAGUCGAACGGAAAGGCCCUUCGGGGUACUCGAGUGGCGAACGGGUGAGUAACACGUGGGUGAUCUGCCCUGCACUUUGGGAUAAGCCUGGGAAACUGGGUCUAAUACCGAAUAGGACCACGGCAUGCAUGUGCUGUGGUGGAAAGCUUUUGCGGUGUGGGAUGGGCCCGCGGCCUAUCAGCUUGUUGGUGGGGUGAUGGCCUACCAAGGCGACGACGGGUAGCCGGCCUGAGAGGGUGUCCGGCCACACUGGGACUGAGAUACGGCCCAGACUCCUACGGGAGGCAGCAGUGGGGAAUAUUGCACAAUGGGCGCAAGCCUGAUGCAGCGACGCCGCGUGGGGAUGACGGCCUUCGGGUUGUAACCCCUUUCAGUAGGGACGAAGCGCAAGUGACGGUACCUACAGAAGAAGCACCGGCCAACUACGUGCCAGCAGCCGC